GACGAACGCUGGCGGCGUGCUUAACACAUGCAAGUCGAACGGAAAGGCCCUGCUUUUGUGGGGUGCUCGAGUGGCGAACGGGUGAGUAACACGUGAGUAAUCUGCCCUUGACUUUGGGAUAACUUCAGGAAACUGGGGCUAAUACCGGAUAGGAGCUCCUGCUGCAUGGUGGGGGUUGGAAAGUUUCGGCGGUUGGGGAGGGACUCGCGGCUUAUCAGCUUGUUGGUGGGGUAGUGGCUUACCAAGGCUUUGACGGGUAGCCGGCCUGAGAGGGUGACCGGCCACAUUGGGACUGGGAUGCGGCCCAGACUCCUACGGGGGGCAGCGGUGGGGAAUAUUGCACAAUGGGCGGAAGCCUGAUGCAGCAACGCCGCGUGCGGGAUGACGGCCUUCGGGUUGUAAACCGCUUUCGCCUGUGACGAAGCGUGGGUGACGGUAAUGGGUAAAGAAGCACCGGCGAACUACGU
rnacentral:rRNA from 1 species